rnacentral:tRNA from 1 species
GGAUACAUAGCUCAGAUGGCAAGAGUAUCACGUUGACAUCGUGAGGGUCGCUGGUUCAAGUCCAGUUGUAUCCA